rnacentral:rRNA from 1 species
UACGGGGGGGGCAAGCGUUGUUCGGAAUUAUUGGGCGUAAAGAGCUUGUAGGCGGUUUGUCGCGUCUGCCGUGAAAAUCCGGGGCUCAACCCCGGACUUGCGGUGGGUACGGGCAGACUAGAGUGUGGUAGGGGAGACUGGAAUUCCUGGUGUAGCGGUGAAAUGCGCAGAUAUCAGGAGGAACACCGAUGGCGAAGGCAGGUCUCUGGGCCACUACUGACGCUGAGACGCGAAAGCGUGGGGAGCGAACAGG